UACGUAGGGUGCGAGCGUUGUCCGGAAUUAUUGGGCGUAAAGAGCUCGUAGGCGGUUUGUUGCGUCGGCCGUGAAAACUCAGGGCUUAACUCUGAGCCUGCGGUCGAUACGGGCAGACUUGAGUUCGGUAGGGGAGACUGGAAUUCCUGGUGUAGCGGUGAAAUGCGCAGAUAUCAGGAGGAACACCGGUGGCGAAGGCAGGUCUCUGGGCCACUACUGACGCUGAGAAGCGAAAGCAUGGGGAGCGAACAGG
rnacentral:rRNA from 1 species